rnacentral:rRNA from 1 species
GGUUAGGCGACUAAGCGUACACGGUGGAUGCCCUGGCAGUCAGAGGCGAUGAAGGACGUGCUAAUCUGCGAUAAGCGUCGGUAAGGUGAUAUGAACCGUUAUAACCGGCGAUUUCCGAAUGGGGAAACCCAGUGUGAUUCGUCACACUAUCAUUAACUGAAUCCAUAGGUUAAUGAGGCGAACCGGGGGAACUGAAACAUCUAAGUACCCCGAGGAAAAGAAAUCAACCGAGAUUCCCCCAGUAGCGGCGAGCGAACGGGGAGGAGCCCAGAGCCUGAAUCAGUGUGUGUGUUAGUGGAAGCGUCUGGAAAGGCGCGCGAUACAGGGUGACAGCCCCGUACACAAAAAUGCACAUGCUGUGAGCUCGAUGAGUAGGGCGGGACACGUGGUAUCCUGUCUGAAUAUGGGGGGACCAUCCUCCAAGGCUAAAUACUCCUGACUGACCGAUAGUGAACCAGUACCGUGAGGGAAAGGCGAAAAGAACCCCGGCGAGGGGAGUGAAAAAGAACCUGAAACCGUGUACGUACAAGCAGUGGGAGCCUCUUUAUGGGGUGACUGCGUACCUUUUGUAUAAUGGGUCAGCGACUUAUAUUCUGUAGCAAGGUUAACCGAAUAGGGGAGCCGAAGGGAAACCGAGUCUUAACUGGGCGUUAAGUUGCAGGGUAUAGACCCGAAACCCGGUGAUCUAGCCAUGGGCAGGUUGAAGGUUGGGUAACACUAACUGGAGGACCGAACCGACUAAUGUUGAAAAAUUAGCGGAUGACUUGUGGCUGGGGGUGAAAGGCCAAUCAAACUGGGAGAUAGCUGGUUCUCCCCGAAAGCUAUUUAGGUAGCGCCUCGUGAAUUCAUCUCCGGGGGUAGAGCACUGUUUCGGCAAGGGGGUCAUCCCGACUUACCAACCCGAUGCAAACUGCGAAUACCGGAGAAUGUUAUCACGGGAGACACACGGCGGGUGCUAACGUCCGUCGUGAAGAGGGAAACAACCCAGACCGCCAGCUAAGGUCCCAAAGUCAUGGUUAAGUGGGAAACGAUGUGGGAAGGCCCAGACAGCCAGGAUGUUGGCUUAGAAGCAGCCAUCAUUUAAAGAAAGCGUAAUAGCUCACUGGUCGAGUCGGCCUGCGCGGAAGAUGUAACGGGGCUAAACCAUGCACCGAAGCUGCGGCAGCGACACUAUGUGUUGUUGGGUAGGGGAGCGUUCUGUAAGCCUGUGAAGGUGUGCUGUGAGGCAUGCUGGAGGUAUCAGAAGUGCGAAUGCUGACAUAAGUAACGAUAAAGCGGGUGAAAAGCCCGCUCGCCGGAAGACCAAGGGUUCCUGUCCAACGUUAAUCGGGGCAGGGUGAGUCGACCCCUAAGGCGAGGCCGAAAGGCGUAGUCGAUGGGAAACAGGUUAAUAUUCCUGUACUUGGUGUUACUGCGAAGGGGGGACGGAGAAGGCUAUGUUGGCCGGGCGACGGUUGUCCCGGUUUAAGCGUGUAGGCUGGUUUUCCAGGCAAAUCCGGAAAAUCAAGGCUGAGGCGUGAUGACGAGGCACUACGGUGCUGAAGCAACAAAUGCCCUGCUUCCAGGAAAAGCCUCUAAGCAUCAGGUAACAUCAAAUCGUACCCCAAACCGACACAGGUGGUCAGGUAGAGAAUACCAAGGCGCUUGAGAGAACUCGGGUGAAGGAACUAGGCAAAAUGGUGCCGUAACUUCGGGAGAAGGCACGCUGAUAUGUAGGUGAAGUCCCUCGCGGAUGGAGCUGAAAUCAGUCGAAGAUACCAGCUGGCUGCAACUGUUUAUUAAAAACACAGCACUGUGCAAACACGAAAGUGGACGUAUACGGUGUGACGCCUGCCCGGUGCCGGAAGGUUAAUUGAUGGGGUCAGCGCAAGCGAAGCUCUUGAUCGAAGCCCCGGUAAACGGCGGCCGUAACUAUAACGGUCCUAAGGUAGCGAAAUUCCUUGUCGGGUAAGUUCCGACCUGCACGAAUGGCGUAAUGAUGGCCAGGCUGUCUCCACCCGAGACUCAGUGAAAUUGAACUCGCUGUGAAGAUGCAGUGUACCCGCGGCAAGACGGAAAGACCCCGUGAACCUUUACUAUAGCUUGACACUGAACAUUGAGCCUUGAUGUGUAGGAUAGGUGGGAGGCUUUGAAGUGUGGACGCCAGUCUGCAUGGAGCCGACCUUGAAAUACCACCCUUUAAUGUUUGAUGUUCUAACGUUGACCCGUAAUCCGGGUUGCGGACAGUGUCUGGUGGGUAGUUUGACUGGGGCGGUCUCCUCCUAAAGAGUAACGGAGGAGCACGAAGGUUGGCUAAUCCUGGUCGGACAUCAGGAGGUUAGUGCAAUGGCAUAAGCCAGCUUGACUGCGAGCGUGACGGCGCGAGCAGGUGCGAAAGCAGGUCAUAGUGAUCCGGUGGUUCUGAAUGGAAGGGCCAUCGCUCAACGGAUAAAAGGUACUCCGGGGAUAACAGGCUGAUACCGCCCAAGAGUUCAUAUCGACGGCGGUGUUUGGCACCUCGAUGUCGGCUCAUCACAUCCUGGGGCUGAAGUAGGUCCCAAGGGUAUGGCUGUUCGCCAUUUAAAGUGGUACGCGAGCUGGGUUUAGAACGUCGUGAGACAGUUCGGUCCCUAUCUGCCGUGGGCGCUGGAGAACUGAGGGGGCUGCUCCUAGUACGAGAGGACCGGAGUGGACGCAUCACUGGUGUUCGGGUUGUCAUGCCAAUGGCACUGCCCGGUAGCUAAAUGCGGAAGAGAUAAGUGCUGAAAGCAUCUAAGCACGAAACUUGCCCCGAGAUGAGUUCUCCCUGACUCCUUGAGAGUCCUGAAGGAACGUUGAAGACGACGACGUUGAUAGGCCGGGUGUGUAAGCGCAGCGAUGCGUUGAGCUAACCGGUACUAAUGAACCGUGAGGCUUAACCUU